rnacentral:lncRNA from 1 species
GGAGUGGAAUUUUGGAACGAAAUGUAGCAAAGAGAGUACAGUAGUAAGAGUAACCGCGUAGGUGCAGCCGGCCGAGGGGGUGCGCCGGCGAGGUUCGGACGCUGCACCCCGCUUUCCAUCGCAGGGGAUCCCAGCACAUCAGAACACCGGUGGGAGGAGGCGCCUGAAGACCCGCCCCGGCCCGGUCCACGUUCUCCCCAGGAAGCUGGACUCUAUGGGGCGGGACCCCGAGAGAGACUGAGCAGAACCUGGAGCCAGCCCCGCACCCCUGCACUUCCAAUCAGGGGCGCCCCGGGAGCACUCCCCGUGGGCGCGCCGCCCGCCCUCCGCGCAGCCAUGAGCGAGACGGUCAUCUGUUCCAGCCGGGCUACUGUGAUGCUUUAUGAUGACAGCAACAAGCGAUGGCUCCCUGCUGGCACUGGUCCCCAGGCCUUCAGCCGCGUCCAGAUCUACCACAACCCCACUGCUAACUCCUUCCGAGUUGUUGGCCGCAAGAUGCAGCCGGAUCAGCAGGUGGUUAUCAACUGUGCCAUCAUUCGGGGUGUCAAGUACAAUCAGGCCUGGCUGCUGCCAUUGCUGGAGCCAAACUCAGGAAAGUGAGCAAGCAGGAGGAGGCCUCUGGGGGGCCCCUGGCCCCCAAAGCUGAGAACAGUCGAAGCACUGGUGGGGGGCUUAUGGAAGAGAUGAACGCCAUGCUGGCCCGGAGAAGAAAAGCCACACAGGUUGGGGAGAAGCCCCCCAAAGACGAGUCAGCCAGUGAGGAGUCAGAGGCCCGACUCCCUGCCCAGAGUGAACCUGUGAGAAGACCCUGGGAGAAGAACAGCACAACCUUGCCAAGGAUGAAGUCGUCCUCUUCUGUGACUACCUCCGAGGCCCACCCCUCGACGCCCUGCUCCAGUGAUGACUCCGACUUGGAGAGGGUGAAGCAGGAGCUUCUGGAAGAGGUGCGGAAGGAGCUACAGAAAAUGAAAGAGGAAAUCAUCGAAGUCUUUGUCCAGGAGCUGAGGAAGCGGGGUUCUCCUUGACUACAGGGACCCAGAAGACCCAUUUCUUCUUUCUGUACUUCCUGCCUGGCACCUGCUUUCCCUGCCUCUACUUGACCAAGAGUUACACAAGAAUGCGUUCUCCCCCGCCAGCUCCCACUUGGAAGAUUCCACGUGGGGUGUGGCUUCCUGGUGCCAUGGUCACACCCACGCUGGCUGCUGAUUGGAUAAGGAGGUCCCACCCCUUUGUUUUCUUUGGUCCUUUCCCUUCACCAUCCCCUUGGGGCUGGUUCCUCUGCUGGGGAUGGACCGAGUAACCCCGCAGUGAGGGAAGGAAGGAGGGGUCUCACCUUCUCUUGUUCUGGAUUCACUUUAACGCUUUAAUGCCUUGGAAUUUUUUUUUAAGAAAAAGUAUAUAUAUAUAUUUGGGUUUGGGGGCGGGGAAGGGAAAUUUUUUUCUCUUUGGUUUUGAUAAAAAUGGGGUGUGGGAGUUUUUAAAUGCUAGACCCCAGGCUUGUCCCAUCGGAGGCAGCUAUAUAUAAGAGGGGAGGUAUCCCACUAGGUGGGGGGUAUUUCCCCCACCCCUGGGACACCCUUUUGCCUUGGCUCCUCCCUCUUUUCUAUGAGGAAUUAAGAUUCUUUAACUUUUUUGGAACCUCAGUUUUGUGGUUUUUUUAUUUGGGUUAGGAUUUCAGGGUCCAGACCAUUUUUGCCCUCCGGGAAGAUGAAGUGAGGGGGAGAAGAGGAAAAAUAGGUCCUCCGACUUCUACACCAUAGCUUCUUGGACACGGGCCCUCGCUGAAUAAAUCUGCAGUUUUUAUAAAUGCAA